UACGGGGGGAGCAAGCGUUGUUCGGAUUUACUGGGCGUAAAGGGCUCGUAGGCGGCCAACUAAGUCAGACGUGAAAUCCCUCGGCUUAACCGGGGAACUGCGUCUGAUACUGGAUGGCUAGAGUUUGGGAGAGGGAUGCGGAAUUCCAGGUGUAGCGGUGAAAUUCGUAGAUAUUCGGAAGAACACCAGUGGCGAAGGCGGCUCACUGGACUGGUAUUGACGCUGAGGUGCGAAAGCGUGGGGAGCAAACAGG
rnacentral:rRNA from 1 species